rnacentral:lncRNA from 1 species
GUGAAACCAUUCAUAAUGUGGUUAGACUUGGUCAGAAGAUUAGGUAUACCUAAUCUUUUGACCAAGUCUAACCACAUUACAUGCUUUAAACUGCUAUUGUAAAACAAACUUUUUGCAAAAACUCUAAAAACACAGCUCUCUACAUUAUACGCAUCAUUCUCAUUUGGAAAAACACUGCCAUUUAAAUGCCACACUCAUUAAAUGAUGACCUUCAGCCAGUGAUCAUUUGUGAAAACACACAGAAUUCGUUCACUUAGAAAUCAAAACUCAGUUUUGAGAAAGAUUUUUUUACCCCCUUGCAUUUCUGUUUACAUUGUAUAUAUAUAUAUGUAUAUCUAUAUACUGUGUGUGUGUGUGUGUGUGUGUGUGUGUGUGCGCACGCGCGGUUUGCCCUCAUUCUUCUCUUCUUUCUUUAUUAGUUCAGUCUCUACAGCACGUCUGCAUGAUCUUGAGCAGUUUAAGCUCCUUCACAGCUCUGUUAUGGCGAAUGUUCAAACCAGGAUUCUUCAUCUGGAUCUCUCUAUCAUCAUUAUUUUCCUGAUUCAUGCAGAUUAUUCAAAAUCUAAUCAAGAGAAAAGGAUUCAGCAGCACAUCAACAAAACAGUGUUUGUGGGGGAAACAGUUACACUUCACUGCAACAAAACCCAACUUGAUGAUGAUUUCACAUGGAAAAUGAACAGCUUCGUUAUUUUUAGGCAGGACUCUGAAAGAAACAGAACAAUGACAAACUUCAGCUCAAACAGGAUUCACAUCGACCCCGCAGCUCCAAGAGAAUUAACAAUACAUCAAAUACAAGCGUCUGAUGCAGGAAACUACAGCUGUUACCCAGCAGCAAUAAGAUGGACAUUAACAAUAACAGAAAACACAACCAGACCAGAAUCACUCAAACAAAUGCCGCUGUACAUCAUCUUCUCAUGUUCUGGAGUCAUUAUGAUCUGUCUGAUCAUAACCAUCUGCGUUCACAGUAAACUGAAGCAGAUGAAGACAAACUCUGAUCUCUGUGAAAAAGACCAGGAGGCAGAAAGUUUAUUUACCACAGAACAGGUUAUUAUUCAGCUUUUAUGGAAUGUGUUCUUGAAUUCUGUACAUUGUUAUACAUUUGACCUAAAUUCUAAAAUUCUGCAUGAUCUGUACAGGUGAAGAAGAUAUCUGACUGUGACAAACACACAGUAACAGCCUGUGUCUACAGUCUUCAUACAGUUUCAUAAACGUCUUUUCUUCUCAAGACAGUGGUGUGUGUCUGACACUCAACAGAUCAUGAACAGGAAGAUGUCUGUCAGAGGAUCUUUAUAUUACUACAUUUUACAGUAAAGAGUAAUACUUUUUUAACACUUUUUAAAAAUGUAAAAUUUUUAAAUUUUAACAUGCCUAACUAGAUACUAAAUAUUCACAACAACACCUUCAAAUACCUUCAGAGACUAUGUCCUCGAUACAUGAUAUCUGUCAUUGUGUUGGACAUCUGAAUGAAGAUCUAUUUUUUUCCCUUUUCCUUCACCUCAUGAGUCAGUGAAAUCUUUAAAAAGUGGUGUUUGUCACAAUAUGAAAAUAAGUAUGUACAGUCAGCAGGUCAUUAUUUCAAAAUAAACCAUAACUGUACUAAUGGACACAGACGUUAUAUGACCACUUGCCAAAUAAAUGUGGAUGUGAAACAUUAAUAUGAGUUAAAAGGAUUUUAUUAUCUAAUUUGUAGAUUGGAUUAAAGUUUGAAAAGAUUUC